ensembl:lncRNA
CAUGAAUAGAGAUUAAAUUAGGUGCAGACAGUAGUUAUAUACUGUAACUGAAUCAGAAACAGUACAAUGUUCACACACAAAAAAAAAUAAAUUUGAACAAGUGACUCAAAUUCACAAAAUGUGUUCAUUUUCAUAAAUGUUUGCAUGAUAAAAUCAAAAAUAAAGGAAUACUGUAUUACAGCAAAAAUACUGUGCAGACAUUUUUCUGGCACUAUUUCCUCAGUGACAUUAUCCCACUGGAAUAGCAGUGGCGUAGUGUUACAACCCCGCGUGUUGCCACAGUGGAAUACAGAUAGAGAACAGCUCAGCGUUUGCUACCGGGGGAUUUUAGCUGUCCAAAUCUUUGACAGUUUCUUAGCAGCUCUCGGCCCUAAACUGUGAAAGAUUCCAAAGACAGAUAGAACCCCCCCCCCCACGCCCUCCACCAACCUCCACACCCCCACCAUAUCAGCCAGUAUCAUUGAUAAAGACAGCCUUUCAGGGAUGACACUGAUAGCUGCUCCAAAACCAUUCGAAAAGUGAUUUGCCUGCCAUUUUAGCUGCUGCUGCCCUCUUUAUGAUGCACACGUGUCCAGGAAGACAACGAGUCUGCUUUUACAGAAGGAAUUAGGAAGGACCUUAAAAGGUUGCAAAUAGGUAGUCACAUUUUCAACAAUUUCUAUACAUGACAUAUUGCAUGCAAUUAACCUUUAUAUUAUUAAGCUUUGAAUUUGUUGUAGUGGCUCAAUUUAAAAGUAAUUUCAUUUUCAACAAAAUACACUUAUUACAGCGUCAUGUUGAUUUAAGAUGCAAGUGAACAUCUCAAGAAUUACUGCAAUCGCCUGUUCAGUCCUGGUUGCAGAAAUUCUUCACAAAGCAUUUAGAUCAUAUGGCAUAAAGGAUCUGCUCUAUGUUGUUAGGUGCAGUGUUGUGAGGACUUGCUAUGUGCCUUUGCAAAAAAACUGAAACUGUGUUUUUUAUAUAAAGAAAAUAAGACCUUAUGUGAAAUACAAUUUAAAACGUAUUUAAUACUUUGGUUUUUCACCAAAGCGAGGUUUAAACAUUCAAUCAGCUGUUAAUUUGAAAAAGGCACUUUUAGGCGCAAAAUUUAAAAGACAUUUUUUUCAAAAACUAUAAAAAAAUGUUUGAUGAUAACUUUAAAUUACUGCAUUUAAAGGCCAACUCCAGCAAUCAAAUAUGUAGACGUUGUCCUUAUUCCUCUGCUCCUGCAUCCCUUCACCCCUCCUGAGGCCUUCAUCCCCAUCUUCAGUCCAAAUGAAUGACGCCAGCUGGGGUCGGCCGGCUGAUGCUGGGCCCUGUUAGGUGGCACUGACAGCUGAAUUAUCCCACAGGCCACGGUAGCUGAUUAUCAGCGGAGAAGUCAUCAGGGCAUCCCAGCCUCGCCUCCAACCCCCACAUCCUCUUCCCCACACCCCUGUCACCCCUUGUCAAGAGAGCAACGCUUUCUCCAAGCUCACUGUCCAGGUCCUCUUGACAGGUAAUCUCAACAAUAACAAUUACCACCAUUACUGGUGUCAUAAACAAGUGGCCAACCCCAAGCCAGGCAAUAACAAAGGCUUUAUAAUUCACCAUGCAAGGCCUUAUAAAUACAUGUCAACAGGUAAGAAGUGUGAAGUAAAGAAGAUGAGUACUGGUGCUCUCAGGCACUGAAGUAAAACUGUGUAUUUGAGUAUGUUGGUUGAGAGGAGCGUUGUUGGUAAAAGCUGAGGAUACAGCAGGAAACUGAAAUCAAAGCUGCAGACAGAUGUAAAUAUAAUCACAUGAGGAAAAGGGAUUUUAGAUUUUGAAUAUAUUUUAUUAGGUGCAAGUCUGAUUUAUUUAUUUACUUACAUGUUUAAAUGUAGCCAGAAGUGCAGUGAAGCAGUUUUGUCUGAUUUUUCUAUCGAUGAAGCCAUUUUAUCUGAGAAUAGCAUUGACUUUAUUAUUGAUUUAGCAAUAGAGGCAAUAUUUCACUGUAAAUCUUGGAUUAUCAGAGAAAAAAUGAAGGAACUCUAAUUCAUCAAAUAAAAUAUCUUCCCAUCUUACAUAUUGACAACCAAGCAAACAAAUCCCAAACAGAGGCAUUAUAAUUUAUUUUUAAUGAUCUCAAUUUGAUUUAAGAAAUAAGUGAUGUGAAAUUAAGUGAAACAUCACUGUGUUUCAAUCAUUUAAAAUGUAUACUUCUAUCAAUAAACUAUAUUUCCAGCUUUAUUUAAUACAGUUCCAAAUUCUCUUUAAAUGUUUUAUUACUUUAAUGUUUUUUUAAGAUAUCCUUUUUUCCCUCCGUGCAUGCUCUCUUGUUUUCCACAUAUAUAUAUAUUUUGCAUCAGAGUAUUCCACCCAAGCGAUUCGAGCCUUACCAUUUGAAGUUUGGGCCAGCUUGCUUCCUUUCCUCAGCAAAGCAAACAAGGCGCUGUGGCCCGGAGCGCUAAAAUAAUUUGAGACUCCCUGAUGAGGAGAGCUGAGCAGCAAUUAACACGUGUCAAAGUCGACAUCAUCAGGUGCCACUCUCAUUUUCUUCCCAAGACUCAAUGGAUUUUUUCCCCCCCUUCUCAUCCCGUUUCCUCUUGUUUAUUCACCCCCGAAGGCGACGGUGGAAAAAGAGGUUUCCAUUUCGGAUGCGGCUGGACUCUGGCGCUUUUUACGAUCACUAGUUAACGCCGCCGAGAUCGUCGCGCUGAUGUCUCGCUUCGUCCUUUAUUCGUUUUUCUUUUCUUCCUUCCUUUUUUUUCAGCGGCAAUCAGAUCAGACAGGCCAGUAAUUCCUGCAGGAGCGAUACUCCGAGCAAAGAAACAGAGAAGAGGAGAGGAGAGCAGGGACUGCACCGUAACGUUAAUGCUGAUGUGAAUUCUGCAUAGUUUUUUUUUCUUCUUUUUUUUAAAUCAACAUUUAAAUGUUCAUUUAGUUUGGCAACAAGUAAAUUAGAUAAUUUUAUAUAGCACUAAAAGACGCGUUAAACGGAGUAAUUUUUUAAAAUUUUCCCGUUAACAUAAUAAUAAUAUUAAUAAAUUAAUGCACAAUUGUAAAUAAAAUAUAUGAUGAAAAGGAAACAAUUUUAAUGAAAAGCCUCCCCAGAAAACAGAUCUGCAAAUUAGAUAAACAGAAAUAACAGAAAUUAUUUACUUGCAUUCCAAAAUAUUAAUUUAUUUAAUAAAGGCUUCUACAAAAUACAUGGCUUAUUUAUUAAUUAAAGCAUAAUUUCAGGAUAAAUUAAAAGUUUGGCACUAAAAUGUAUAAUAAAAACAAAAUUUAUGUGAAUCAGUAACUGAAACAUACUUGAUAACACUGAAAUAAAUAGAAAUUGUAUUUAGCAACAUUAUUUCCAGUAACAAGCAUCUUUCCUUAAUUAAUAACAAAUACACUUCAUUCCUGAAUGAAAACAGGUCAUUUCAUUUAAAUACUGCCCAAUUACAUACACCAUUAUUAACUAAGGGUGUGGUGAGUUUAAAUUUCCAAAUGAAGUGUCAAAACAAAUUAAUAUCCAUUUUUCUAUUAUUAAAGACAACUUUGAGCACAAUUAGAGGACACACAUUGCAUCUCUCUGGAGCACAAUUUUAUUUUUAACUGUCAUUAUUUAUGACAGUUAAAAUUCUGGAAAGUCUGGAUGUAAAACACAGAUGUGUUUAAUCUCCAGCUAAUUCAACCCACAAUGUCAAUGUGCUUGCAAAGAUGAAGAAAAGGAAAAAAUGAGAAAUCCAGAAACUAAAAGACAUCAACAGCAGCAUCAUGUGGCAACACAACCUAAUUUCUAAGGGUUUAAGUUAACCAGUUUUUCUGUGCCCUUGUGGAUGCAGAUUGAAGAAAAGGAAAGAAGAAAAGGAGGAGGAGGCGUUUUUGUUGCUAUUCUUCUGACCUGAGCUGCUCAUCUUCCUCAGAGCUCAGCGGGAGCUCGGCCAGCACUUGCCUUGCCUACCCAGGGUCCUUUUGGUGUGUGCAUAUCAUUAGCAUACAUUUCUUCCUGGCUGACGAGGCCUCGCUCUCAUUAAAGCUUCAUCUCACAAAUUCCCUCCCAGAAUCCUGCUGGUCCUUGCCGCCAUGAAUCCAUACCUGUGGUGGUGGUGGCUGCUGAUGAUGGCAUGCUGUUGUCCAAAAUCAACCAGAUGAGGACUAAACAACGGGAAGGAGCUGGAGGAGUGGGGUAUAUCGCUGCAGGACAAUACACCAACCCAUGGGACCAUGGGCAGCACCAUGGACUGCUUUGUAGACAUGGGAACAAAACCAUAAAAUAAAAAAUUCCUAAACUCAAAAUAGGAAAAUCUAUGAAGGUGGAGGUUUUACUGGUACCAAUGCUUGCACAUCACCUGUACAACCUGCACUAUUGUGCUACAGAGUCUAUUAAUUAAAAUGAUAUCGUGUCCUCUAUUUAUAACACUAUUACUGGCGUUGUUGCUUGUGUUUUGAACUUGUCAAGGCUCCAACAAUGAAUUAAAAUAAUUUCCAGACUAAGCUGCUUGAUCUACAGUGCAUCACUAUAGAUCAUGCAGCAUAGUAGGUAGUCACACAUGCCAAAACUCAUUAGCACAGUGGAAUGAUGGAGGAAAUAAGUUAAAUCUUUUUAUAAAGUUACUUUUCAUGCAGAAAGACAGCUCUGUG